GGGGACGCGAAAGUGCCCCCAUAUAAGUGUGUAGAUAGCGUCCAUAUUGGCCUGUGGCGUGGUCUGUGAAUC
rnacentral:ncRNA from 1 species